rnacentral:rRNA from 1 species
GUGGGGAAUUUUGGACAAUGGGCGCAAGCCUGAUCCAGCCAUGCCGCGUGCAGGAUGAAGGCCUUCGGGUUGUAAACUGCUUUUGUACGGAACGAAAAAGCUCUCUCUAAUACAGGGGGUGAAUGACGGUACCGUAAGAAUAAGCACCGGCUAACUACGUGCCAGCAGCCGCGGUAAUACGUAGGGUGCAAGCGUUAAUCGGAAUUACUGGGCGUAAAGCGUGCGCAGGCGGUUAUGUAAGACAGAGGUGAAAUCCCCGGGCUCAACCUGGGAACUGCCUUUGUGACUGCAUAGCUGGAGUGCGGCAGAGGGGGAUGGAAUUCCGCGUGUAGUAGUGAAAUGCGUAGAUAUGCGGAGGAACACCGAUGGCGAAGGCAAUCCCCUGGGCCUGCACUGACGCUCAUGCACGAAAGCGUGGGGAGCAAACAGGAUUAGAAACCCUAGUAGUCC